rnacentral:rRNA from 1 species
GAACGACUCUCGGCAACGGAUAUCUCGGCUCUCGCAUAGAUAAAAAACG